rnacentral:rRNA from 1 species
AGGACGAACGCUGGCGGCGUGCUUAACACAUGCAAGUCGAACGGUGAUCCGCUUUCGGGCGGUGAGCAGUGGCGAACGGGUGAGUAACACGUGGGUAACCUGCCCUCCACUCUGGGAUAACUCCGGGAAACCGGGGCUAAUACCGGAUAUGACCUGAGGCGGCAUCGCCUCGGGUGGAAAGUUUUUCGGUGGAGGAUGGACCCGCGGCCUAUCAGCUUGUUGGUGGGGUAAUGGCCUACCAAGGCGAUGACGGGUAGCCGGCCUGAGAGGGCGACCGGCCACACUGGGACUGAGACACGGCCCAGACUCCUACGGGAGGCAGCAGUGGGGAAUAUUGCACAAUGGGCGAAAGCCUGAUGCAGCGACGCCGCGUGAGGGAUGACGGCCUUCGGGUUGUAACCUCUUUCAGCAGGGACGAAGCGCAAGUGACUGUACCUGCAGAAGAAGCACCGGCUAACUACGCGCCAGCAGCCGCGGUAA